UCUGAAUGCUGCUCCUUCAAGCUACUUUUUGGCCCUACACAAUCUUAUGCUGGUGAGUUUGGAUAUAGUCUGUGAAUCCCUGCGGGAUUCUGGUUGAGGGAAGGAAUGCAUUUUUAAGGAGAGUUGAGCAUUGUUGUGCCAAUGUUAUGUCAACAGAAGUUAUGUACCACCUACAGACACUAUUAUUUCUCAAGUUUGUCAGGAGGGGUCAGAUCUGGGUAAAGAAACUGUAGCCGUCUUGUCAGUUAUGGGAAAGGACGUGAGUGCUGUUGUAACUACAGCACCAGGAGAAAAGUUUGUCCUAUUUGAAGCUACCAGCACUGCCUACUAUGCAUACUACCUUCAGACUGUUAGCUAACAUCUUGAACGCACGUCAGGUUAGUUCAAUGGCAACCAGUUACACUGGGAUACCAUCCAAAUUGAUAUAUUGAGCAUUCUGUGGUGUGGUUUUGCAGUGUGGAUGGCCCCAACUUUGGCAACAUGUUUUUAUUUAUGGGUGUGAUUCACAAACUUGAAUGGAUAUUCUCCAUACACAACUCUUAGUCCAAGACUAAGCUUUAUCUUUGUCUGUGAAACCGGCCCUGUAUGUGUUAGACCGGGAACACAUUUAAUCCAAUGCAAUAUAAUUUUAGAAAUAUUUGGGAUCAUUUACUACCAUACAAUUCUGUUUGACUGCACCGCAGUACUCCCACACAUAAUUACUCAGACUAACCUGACUUACAAUGCAGCAGUUUGGUGUUUUGUUAUGUUCCAUUGCAGUUAUCCUUCAUUCUAGCGGGACCCAUUCUAGCUUGUAAUGCUGGGAUAAAAUACCAUGUACAGCUCGUCUGUAAAACUGGCUUUUGUUCUUUGUCCCGUUUCCUCUGUGCUGACCCCCUGGGCCCAGUUAUCCGUCCUUGGCCCUCGCCCUUCAGGCCAUAUACAUUAGAACUUGUCUUCUGCCUUAAGUUAAAAGCUGAGCUGCUUCAUUAGUUUGUGAUGGGUUCCUGUUCUUACUGGCUUGCCGUCUCUCUCUCCCCGUCUUCUCUCUUCUGUCUCUCUCCCUCUCUCUUCACCCCUCCCUAACCGCACUCUUUCCUCAUCUCCCAGUGACAAAUUACCCAGGAACCCUUGGUUUCUGCCAAAGUACAGAACUGAAAGAGGCAGCGGUCACUGGGCUGAAAGGCACAUCCGAUAGGCCCCCUCCGCUCAGAAAGCUUUGGCAACUGGUUUUCGCUCAGUGGUUAAGACCCCCACUGAGAUAUGAGGCUUCCCCUGGUGCUUUUAUCCUUCCCCUGGACUUAAAGGCUUUUAAAAAGAUAUUUUCAAAUUUAGGGAGUCAUUAUUGCCGAGACUCACCGUGCGUGUGUGUGCGUGCGUGCGUGCGUGCGUCCGUGCGUGCGUGCGUGCGUGCGUGUGUGUGUGCGUGCUGAGCCCCAUCAGGGAACCUCGCCACCAAACCACAGGGCUUCCACGUCGUUGGCAGAUAUACACUGGCAUUUAAAUUAAACUGACGCUGCGCUGGUUUGUAUCAGUGGUUUCUCUUCGGCGAUGGCUUUGCGGUCGCCGCGUCGCCUUCUCCCCAAGGUGUCUGGAGUCUGUGCUCCUGUCACACCAUGUGACUGCUCCUGCCCUGUCGGGGAUUAUGGGAGAAACACUUGUGUUUAUUGGAAAUAACUCGUUUUUAGCACCACCUGCAUCAAAGAGACAGAAAAAGAGCAGAGAGAGAGUCUGCGAGGGUGAACAAAAGAGAUGGAGAGGGAGAGAGAGAGCAAGAGGGACAAUAAUAUGAGAAGAGGGGGAGAUGGGCAGCAAUGGAGAGAGAGAAGCUAAGAUGAAGAGAGGGAAAGGGUGAAGAAAUUAUGGAGGAAAGGAAAAAUAUGGCUUCAAUUGUGGUGUCCAGUCAUGCAGGACUGUAAUAGGAUCAUAAUGCCGGGUUUGAAUUAUAACUCCCCUCAGAGUAGAGUGGCUCUUCUGGAAAUGCUGUGAGAUGCUAUCAGGAAAAGGGGGGUUAGAUUGAUGGUGUUUUACAGUUACAUCACCAAAAGGCUGGCAAGCGCACACACACACACACACACGCACACACACACACACACACACACACACACACACACACACACUCUCUCGCACAAAACCAUUAACUUGGAAAUAAAUUGCCUCGGAAUAACAAAAAAAAAAAAAGCGUAAUGUAUGAAGAGAAAAGGCUAUCUUUUAUCCCCGAUCAUAUUUUUUGCACAUUUUGGCUUUAAGUUUCACAUUUUUGUGCUGAUUUUCAGGAUCUCCCAAAUGAAUCACAAGUCUAGCCUUGAGUGGUCUGAUGUACGGUGGGUUAUUUCAUUUUCUAUUGUACAAUUUUCCAUUACUAUUGCAUAGAGGGAUAUUAAUGCUAUGAAGGUUUCACGGUAAAAUGCUUCUUUCUGCUUGUGUACUUGCACUGUAUACUGUUUAUUGAAUUUAAAUUUAUAUUGCGAUUUAAUAACAUACAGUAUAAACUCUACAUUAAAUGGGAAGAUACAUUUGGAUGGGAGUCCACGUUCCUCGGUAGGUUGAUUGGUAGUCGAUGAUAGGUAGUCAUUCAUCAGAUAUCCAUGGGCUGCAUGCUCAAGCCAUGUAUGAAAGGCCUUCCUCCAACUGCUCUGUGUGAGCAUAGCCAUCGUCUGUGGUGCGACAAUAAACGGCUGAUGACAUCAGGUGUUUUUGAGGGGAACCGUGGCUGUGUACACUAGAAUCGGCAUUGGAGUCCAUGCAUGAUCGCUGCAGUGAUUGCCUACAAUCGGCCAUUCCGGAUUCGGGUGGGAAUUGGACGUACUCAGUCCAAGUUGCGUGCCUGAUUCAUAAAAAUAAAAAUAAAAAAACACACCAGCAUUAACAUGAAAUGUCAUGGCUGAGGGAUCAGUGCAGAAUGACAAAACCUGAAAUAACAGCCUAAACCUUCUACCCAAGCUUGGCCCACUGCCUGAGAUCCUCACACUGAAUGGUUUACAUGAGGAGAGAGAGCCUCUGCCUUCCUGAACACGCCUCGGACGUGUGCGAUGUGACACACUGUCAUUGUGAGCGACGUUGACAUUUAUUCUCAUCACAGCCAAGGCAACAAAGAGACCAAUGGCCUGUGGCAACUCGGUGAGGCUGUGACUCAUCACGGUAAUGAUUGCCACCACGGCCUGACAAAUCUAGCGCUGGGAUAGGAAGUCCAUUACAUUAGCAGUCGAGUGGCACGCUUGGAGUGGCAAUGCAGCGCAAUAGUUCGUGCAGUGAUGCACUAAUAGAAUUGGAUAAAAACCUGAUCGUAUCGGUUUUUAUUAUUGUGCAAGGGAUACAUUCGGACACGAGUGGUUAUAGCCUGUGAAGGGAAAGGUUUCAGUCGUCAUGGCAUUGCACAAGUGAGCCCUCUGGUCAGCCGGUUGACUAUGACUUGCCUAUGCCAUAUCUACAGGAGCUGUAUAGCUCAGCAACUGGAGUGAAAAGGGGAGAGUCAGCAUUUCUGGGGUCAUCUAGACUACUGUACAAUGGAUGUUGCAGCAAUGAGACUGGCCUGUAAUUGUAAUGUUUUUUUCCAAAUGGGAAGAGACACUUACAGUGAAGUGAAAUUAAAAGCAGAUUUCUGAUAAGGAGGUGGGGGCUAAGAGACAACUGCACAAGCCUUUCUAAAACUAGCUGCUACUUGCAGUCCAUCUAUCUCUGUCUCUUGCCUUCUUAUUCUUUUUGCAUCUUUCUAUCCAUCUCUCUCCUCUCUUUCUGAUAAAAAAAAUAUUACCAUUGUGUUUGAGUCAUUCUUACAUUUAUUAGUUUAGGUUAUUCUGUGCAAAAAUAAUACAAUAAUCCAAGUAUAGUGCAUAAUGUCAUAUCUUGUGCUGUAGGAAAUUCUAAGUUUUGGCUGUGGAGCUAACUUGCACAAGACAGAAAAUAAAUCGCAAGAACGCUGCUCCCAAUUGUGGCAAUAGAAUGAAUGCUGAUUUUAAUGCCCCCUGUUCAGCAGAUUCCUCUCUACAACCAUGAUAGACUGAAGAUCCGUUUGGUUUGAUAUCAACACUCCUGUCCGUGGUGUUCUUUUGGCUGCCCAUUGGGUAUGCUCUGAUCAUUUUGACAGAUGAUUUUUUGGAACCCAGAAAGGAAUGAAAAUGAGAAGCUAAACCUUUCUUCCUGAACUACUCCUCUGUUGCUCGUGUCCGAUGGACUGUAGCAGCACCGGACUCUGGAGUUGGAGUAAAUGGUUGAACUUUUUCCUGACCCUGAAAAGCAGUGUUCCAUGAGCUCCACAGGGCAAAGUUCCAACAGCAGGUGUAGAUGCAUCGUGGUAGAGAUUCAACGGCACUCUUUACGCAGGUAACCUUCCCCUUUGAGCACUGUGAGGCGGGGACAUGCACUGAACAGAUUGAAGCCUUUGGCCACGCAAGCUGUCCUGUGGAAAACUGCCUGCAACAAACUGAAACUUUCUGCUCCCUCUGCUUCCCUCAAAUAUAUGCGCUUUGUUACAAAAACAGUGGCUUGUGGUGGUGAUGGAAAACGCUGUCACCUGCUCCAAAGAGCAGAGCCAGUUCACCUAAAAGAGAUUCACCAAUACUUUGAUCUAAUGGGAUUUUGAAUGCCAUUGCCUUAUGUUCCAUAUUUCCAAACAUUGUGAAUUGACAAUUGGCAAUGUUUGCUUUGUCAGUUGCAUACAAGCAUGCACAUACUCAUAUAUGCGUGCUCUGAAUUGCAUAAAGGCACAAACGCACCCUGAAUUUUAUUGCCUCUCAUCAUCUGAUCAGGCAGAGGGUGCAUGGGAUAAUGGUAGUCAAGCAAUUGCAUCAGACACAAAACAAGCCUACAGUACCCUCCAUGGGGAGCUACAAAACACAUCUUUAUUCAUAUACGGUGGGGCGGCAGGGCCAAAUGUGUUUGGGGGGAGGGCUCCUUGACAGCCUCAUCCCUGUGUGUCUCCCUCCAUCCAUCAUGGCCCCACUGACAGCCGUCAGCCAAGCAGAACAUGCAGUGGCAUCCAGGUCAUUCAUAUUCCCUACCUGAACUCCAGUUAGAGGGGAGCAGUAAUCCACUGUUAUUUAAAGGAAAGUACAUAAGACAAACGCUUUUUAGUACAUAAGACAAACAUUUGAAAUAUAUAUAUUUUUUUUUUUCUUGUUUGCCUACUCCCACUCUGCAACCAGCUCUUCUGUUUGGAGGCUGACGUUGCUUCAGUUCAAUAAGAGGAAGUGGGAGAAGUGGGUGAAAGCGACUGUAAGUGAAUGUAUCGAAGCCCUGAGUGUCAGAGGCACCUGCUCUCAACAUCACACUGCCCUACUGGCUAUGAUCCAGCAGGUCACAUCAGCACCAUGGACAAUCCUAUUCAAGAAAACAUUUCAUAUAGUGGAAAUAAAACCAACAUACCUAUUCUUAUUUAUCAUCUUCAUGAAAUUCUGCUUCCAAUUCAUCAAUAAAUACAGAUUUUUUUUGGCACAUUUUAUAGAAAAGACUAUAGUUUUAUGUAUUAUCAUCUGCAUGUAUUUUCCCAUAUAUUUAUUAAUAUGCAUCAUCAGCAUGUAAGUCUGUUUCCAAACCAUCAAUAAAAAAAGAAAAACCCUAUUUCUUUUCAUUUUCUUACAUUUUAUAGAAAAUAUUAUAUUCUUAUAUAUUUUUUGGAUUUCUGCUAAAAAUUUGUCAUAAAUGUUUUUUUUUAAAAAAGGUUUAUCAUUUAUUUCUUCAUGUGUGUCCUGUGCAUGUAAAUCUGCUUCCAAUUCAUCAAUACAAAUAGAUUUUCUUAAUUUUGUCACAUUUUAGAGAAAUAACUAUAGUCUUAUGUAUUUUUCAGAUUUCUGGUAAAAUAGGUCUGUUAUCAUAAAUGUCUGAAAACAUGUGGUUUCCCAUUCAUUUUCUGAUAUUCAUCAGUCUCAUUCUACAUUAAUGUCAACAAUAAAACAUAUGUAUUUAUUAGACCUUUUUAAAAAAAUAUUGUACAGCUGUAGCCUAUCCAAUUAGAGUUAUGGUGCGUUGUGUGUUCAGAGAUGCUCUUCUGCAUACCACUGUUGUAAUGUCUGGUUAUUUGCGUUACUGUCACCUUCCUGUCAGCUUUGACCAGUCUGGCCAUUCUCCUCUGACGUCUCUCAUUAACAAGGUGUUUCUGUCCGCAGAACUGCUGCUCACUGGAUUGUUUUUGCACCAUUCUUUGGAAACUCGAGAGACUAGUGUUAAUGAAAAUCCCAGGAGAUCAGCAGUUUCUGAGAUACUCAAACCACCCUGUUUGCCACCAACAAUCAUUCCAUGGUCAAAGUCACUUCGAUCACAUGUUUUCCCCAUUCUGAUGGUUGAUGUGAACAUUAACUGAAGCUCCUGACCCAUAUCUACAUGAUUGUUUGCAUUGCACUUCUGCACACAAUUGGCUGAUUAAAUAAUUGCAUGAAUAAGUAGGUGUAAUAAAGUAAAAAUGUUUCUAAUGAAGUUCAUGUUAUAUAUCAGAUCACAUGAACUCAUUUUUUUCUCAUCGACUGGUAUCUCAUUUUUUCACAUUUGAUGUUUUUCACAUUUUGCAAUGAACUUCUUCAAAUACUUGGUACAACCAGCCAAGCACAGUUCCCUGAUGUUUAUUCUUGCAUAACACAUUAGAUGAUGAGGUUGGCCCUUACUAUAAAUCUGGGCGGUCUUCCUUCUCUGACAUGCAUUCGAACUCCACCCAUCCACAUUGUAAUAAUACCAGCUCUUUAUAGGACGCUGAAACAGGAAACUAUCAUUCAGAGGAGCCAGGUGAAGCCACUCAAGGAGGCUAGGCAUUAUAAAAUCCCAUGUUAAUGGCCAUAAUUCAUUAAAAUGAAUGAAAGCAAAAAUGAGCUAACAUUAAACCAUGUUCUGUUUCUCAUAUCACCAGACACAGCCUUCUCGCAGUGCAGACAGUGCUUGAGGCUGCCAACAGGGGGAACUAUUGCACCUGGACUGAGCAAGCAGCCUUGGCUCCCUCUCUCACAGUGAAUCACUGUAAUGGAAGAAUUUUAAAAAAGUAUUGGUAUGUAAUAUUUUUUGAUGGACUGAGGCACAUAUUAAACUGUGAUUAUGCAUUGGCAUACAGUAUGUCGCAUUACUUUGAUAGUAUGUGUCUGUUGUGUCAAUUCCGACAAAAAAAAGCCUCAUAGGUCUGGGGAAUUAUCUUCUACUUUUAAAAGGUUUUUUUUGUUUAGGAAGUAAAAAGGCAAAUAGAAAUCUUCAAUGAGAAUAUUUGUGAUUAGAUCUCCAUACAAUUUAUUUUCUAUGAAUAACAAAAUAUGUUAUGGAAUUAAUUUCACAAACAUUUAGAUUUAUUUAUAAAGUUUUUGGACCUCUUGAUCCAGGGAAUCUUACAUUGUAAGAACCAUUGGUUCUCAACAUACAGGUUGUGAGAUCAUUUGUGGGGGUGGUAGGACAAGUUCCAGAUUGCAUCUGUGGGA